GAACGUCCUGCCUUUUCUUCGGAAGAGGGAGGGAGUGGCGGACGGGUGAGUAACACAUGGGUGACCUGGCCUUUGGUGAGGGAUACCGGCGAGAAAUCGCCGACAAGCCCGCAUGAGGUCUCUCUGGUAGAGGGGAGAGAGCAAAGCCCUUGCUCGCGAGAGGAGGGCGCCAAGGGAUGGGCCUGUGGCCGAUUAGCUGGUUGGUGGGGUAAGAGCCUACCAAGGCGACGAUCGGUAGCUGGUCUGAGAGGACGAACAGCCACACUGGGAUUGAGAACGGCCCAGACUCCUACGGGGGGCAGCAGUGAGGAAUUUUCGGCAAUGGGCGCAAGCCUGACCGAGCAACGCCGCGUGCAGGAGGACGCUUUUCGGAGUGUAAACUGCUUUUCUCUGGGACGAGAAUGGACGGUACCAGAGGAAGAAGCCCCGGCUAACUACGUG
rnacentral:rRNA from 1 species